AUUGAACGCUGGCGGCAGGCCUAACACAUGCAAGUCGAGCGGAUGAAGGGAGCUUGCUCCUGGAUUCAGCGGCGGACGGGUGAGUAAUGCCUAGGAAUCUGCCUGGUAGUGGGGGAUAACGUCCGGAAACGGGCGCUAAUACCGCAUACGUCCUGAGGGAGAAAGUGGGGGAUCUUCGGACCUCACGCUAUCAGAUGAGCCUAGGUCGGAUUAGCUAGUUGGUGGGGUAAAGGCCUACCAAGGCGACGAUCCGUAACUGGUCUGAGAGGAUGAUCAGUCACACUGGAACUGAGACACGGCCCAGACUCCUACGGGAGGCAGCAGUGGGGAAUAUUGGACAAUGGGCGAAAGCCUGAUCCAGCCAUGCCGCGUGUGUGAAGAAGGUCUUCGGAUUGUAAAGCACUUUAAGUUGGGAGGAAGGGCAGUAAGUUAAUACCUUGCUGUUUUGACGUUACCAGCAGAAUAAGCACCGGCUAACUUCGUG
rnacentral:rRNA from 1 species